rnacentral:rRNA from 1 species
GGGCUGCAGUWUUUUGACUGUACAAAGGUAGCAUAAUCAAUAGUYUUUUAAUUGGUGACUUGUAUGAAAGAUUGGAUGAAAUAUAUACUGUCUYUAAAUAAUUUUUAGAAAUUAAUUUUUUAGUUAAAAAGCUAAAAUAAUUUUAAAAGACGAGAAGACCCUAUAGAGUUUAAUAAUUUAUUUUAUUGUUAUUAUUAUAUAAUUUUUAAAAUUAAAAUUAAAUAAAUUAUUUUGUUGGGGUGAUAAAAAAAUUAAAUUAACUUUUUUUAGUUUUUUACAUUGAUUUAUGAUUAUAUGAUCCAUUAAUAGUGAUAAAAAGAAAAAAUUACCUUAGGGAUAACAGCGUAAUUUUUUUUUUUAGUUCAAAUAGGAAAAAAAGUUUGCGACCUCGAUGUUGGAUUAA